GUUUAUGGUCAAACCACCCUGAACCCGCCCCAUCUCAUCUGAUCUCGGAAGCUAAGCAGAGUCGGGCCUGGUUAGUACUUGGAUGGGAGACCGGCUGGGAAUACUGGGUGCUGUAGGCU
rnacentral:rRNA from 1 species